AAGGCAUCACUUUGUCCGGACUCUAAUUCAAAUUGUAUUCAUCCGAUCUUCACCAAACUUGGUCAGCAGUUGCAUCUAGUUGAUAUCUAGGCCAAGUUCGAAUAUGGGUCAUGCCGGGUCAAAAACUAGGUCAUAGGGUCAAUAAGUGCAUUUUCAAAGGGGCCACUUUGUCCGGACUCUAUUUCAAAUUGUAUUCAUCCGAUCUUCACCAAACUUGGUCAGCAGUUGCAUCUAGUUGAUAUAUAGGCCAAGUUCGAAUAUGGGUCAUGCCGGGUCAAAAACUAGGUCAUAGGGUCAAUAAGUGCAUUUUCAACGGCGCCACUUUGUACGGACUCUAAUUCAAAUUGUAUUCAUCCGAAACUUUUAAACAACUUUUUAUCCUGCGUCAAAGUGGUAUGGGGGUAUAAGUCACAUUCAGUGACAAAGCUCUAGUUCAAGUUGAUAUCAAUGCAUAUAUAUGAAUAUAUCAGUUAUAUAAGUUGUUGUUGUUUUUUUUGCUUAUUUCCAAAACAAAUACAUCAAUCAUCAGUGUAUCAUCUCCAAUGGCACACGAAUCGGGCGUAUAUUGCUCCGUCAUGCGGCGCUCUUGUUCAUUAAUGCUUUUAUUUUGUCUUUUGCAUGUGCAUACUAUACUCUGUACUUAACAAACUUACUGCACGUAUUAAGAUAGAAUACAUUUGAGUUGCAAUCUGGGAAAACAGGGCUUAAUGCAUGUGCGUAAAGUGUCAUCCCAGAUUAGCCUGUGCAGUCCGCACAGGCUAAUCGGGGGCGACACUUUCUGCUUUUAUGUUUUUUUUUCGUUUACAGAAAGUCUCUUUUUAGCAAAAAUCAAGUUUAGGCAGCGGACUGCACAGGCUAAUCUGGGAUGACACUUUACGCAAUUAUGAACGAGCCGCAACUUGUAUGGUACUUUUCGUGUUUAAAGAAGUCUUCUGAGCGAAAAUCUAGUUUAGUAUGCACAAGCUAAUCUGGGAUGACACUUGACUAACGUGCAAUAAGCCCAGUUUUCCCAAACCAAGGCUCAUUUAUAUUCUGAAAAACUGUGAUUCACCUGUUAUAUUCCCAAUGUAAUGCUGUUAAACAUGUAUUCCAGAAAGUUGUGUUUUGAACUGUUGUUUGUAAAACAGGUCGGUUUGUGAUGAGGAAUCCAACAAAAUACAUUAAUGUAAACAUAA